CUAAGGCUUGGGUGGCAGUUUCCGGAAAUCUUGUUCGCUGUAUUCGCGGUGCUGUUGCUCCCUUUCCUGACCUAGCGUAGGCCCCGCGGCGGCCCAGGCCCGGGCAUUUGACUUUCUAAUGACGGAAUUACUGGAGCAGCAAGGGAGACCACGCACUCGCAGAAGCUUCUAGGCACGGGAACACACCUCCGCGCCGGGUGCCAUUUCCCCAGGUGCAACCUGGAUUGGCUCUGGGCCACGCUCAAGAGAAGCCUCCUGGAAACUGUACAUCUGCCACAACGGGGCUGCAAUCAAACGCCAGAGUGUUUCCUUUGCUCAGGAACCCCAUCAGCUCCGGCCGUCAUACUGAUCAAAGGCGCCCAAUGGCAGCCGUCUAUGUUACCGAGGAGUAAAUUCAGAUGGGAAACUCAUUAUUGCUUAAUAACUGUCCUCUCCAAGUCGUCUUACCUUUGUAAGUGCACCACCCACGCACCCAGCCGCCCACCAACGCAGGAGUCAGUCAUCCCCAGCUCCUCUCCCUGCACUGCUCCCUGCCCCUCCCCCCUCCAGGUCAUCAGCAAGUACUCCAAACACAGCCCAUCUGCCUGCCACCUUCCAGGGAUACCUUGCUUCCAUCCGUGCCCCUCCCCUUCUGACCACACUCCCAAGGUCCGAGGUCGUCACUAGGUCCCCCAGAAGCAUAGUUUUCUGGCUCCCACUCACGCCUUUCUCAUUCUGGCCAUACUGACCUUGGGGCUCCUGGACACACUGGGCCCCUCCCUGCCUCAGGGUCCUUGCGUCAGCUGCCCCCUCCCCUCCUUCCCGCCUGGACAUUCUCCCCCCAGACUGCUCGACAGAUGGCUCCUUCUUGUCAUUCAGGCCUUGGCUCAAAUGCCACUUCUGCAGUAAAGGUCCCUCUAAAGGCGCCUCCUAGGCCCUCCUGGUGACAUCACA